rnacentral:rRNA from 1 species
UACAGAGGGUGCAAGCGUUAAUCGGAAUUACUGGGCGUAAAGCGCACGUAGGCGGUUCGUUAAGUCGGAUGUGAAAUCCCUGGGCUCAACCUGGGAGCUGCAUUCGAUACUGGCGAACUUGAGUAUGAUAGAGGGGGGUGGAAUUCCAGGUGUAGCGGUGAAAUGCGUAGAGAUGCGGAGGAACACCGAUGGCGAAGGCAGCCCCUGGGAUAACACUGACGCUCAUGCACGAAAGCGUGGGGAGCAAACAGGAUUAGAAACCCCGGUAGU